UGGGGAAUAUUGCACAAUGGGCGCAAGCCUGAUGCAGCGAUGCCGCGCGAGGGAAGAAGGUUUUCGGAUUGUAAACCUCUGUCAUCAGGGACGAAAAAAGACGGUACCUGAGAAGGAAGCUCCGGCUAACUACGUGCCAGCAGCCGCGGUAAUACGUAGGGAGCAAGCGUUAUCCGGAAUUACUGGGUGUAAAGGGAGUGUAGGCGGGACUGUAAGUCAGAUGUGAAAUAGGCCGGCUCAACUGGCAGACUGCAUUUGAAACUGUGGUUCUUGAGUGAAGUAGAGGCAAUCGGAAUUCCUAGUGUAGCGGUGAAAUGCGUAGAUAUUAGGAGGAACACCAGUGGCGAAGGCGGAUUGCUGGACAGCAACUGACGGUGAGGCGCGAAAGUGUGGGGAGCAAACAGGAUUAGAUACCCUGGUAGU
rnacentral:rRNA from 1 species